rnacentral:lncRNA from 1 species
UGAAGCUCGUGUGACGAGCGUAACAGGCGUAACAAACUGAAUGCGUGACGGUCGUAACACGCCCAUGACGGUCGUCACACUCACAUUGCCUGUGACGGUCGUCACACGCCUGUGACGGUCGUCACACUCCCAGAGUCAAAAUUUUGGGGUUCCUGUUUUGUGACUACGCAAGGGUUGUGUUCAUGCAAAACAAUGUCCAUUUCAAAUGAA